rnacentral:rRNA from 1 species
UACGGGGGGGGCAAGCGUUGUUCGGAAUUACUGGGCGUAAAGGGCUCGUAGGCGGCCAACUAAGUCGGAUGUGAAAUCCCCAGGCUUAACCUGGGAACUGCAUCCGAUACUGGAUGGCUUGAAUCCGGGAGAGGGAUGCGGAAUUCCAGGUGUAGCGGUGAAAUGCGUAGAUAUCUGGAGGAAUACCGGUGGCGAAGGCGGCAUCCUGGACCGGCAUUGACGCUGAAGCGCGAAAGCUAGGGGAGCAAACAGG